GGUAUGACUGCUCGGGCUACUGAUGUUUGACUGUCACAUAAACAUGAUCUCAAUAAGUCUAUGUAGUGGAUGUUGAUGACAGUUGGUCCACUAUAGGAGUAGGGUAUAUAUCUAGAUAGAAUUUAUCGAUCUUGAUAGAAAAAAAUAGUCCUAUAAGAUUUGAAAAGCUAAGAUCAAGAGUCUGUGGCCAUAGCAGUGUAAUUGAUAAAUUUUUUUUUUUAUGAGGAUCAUAAUUGGACUUGAACU
rnacentral:lncRNA from 1 species